rnacentral:snRNA from 1 species
UGCCUCAGAUUUGUUUUG